rnacentral:misc_RNA from 1 species
GGUUUGAUCCUGGCUCAGAUUGAACGCUGGCGGGGAUGCUUUACACAUGCAAGUCGAACGGCAGUACGGGACUUCGGUCUGGUGGCGAGUGGCGAACGGGUGAGUAAUGUAUCGGAACGUGCCUAGUAGCGGGGAUAACUACGCGAAAGCGUAGCUAAUACCGCAUACCGCUCCUCGGGGAAAGCGGGGGACCUUCGGGCCUCGCACUAUUAGAGCGGCCGGGAUAUCGGAUUAGCUAGUUGGUGGGGUAACGGCUCACCAAGGCGACGAUCCGUAGCUGGUUUGAGAGGACGACCAGCCACACUGGGACUGAGACACGGCCCAGACUCCUACGGAGGCAGCAGUGGGGAAUUUUGGACAAUGGGGGAAACCCUGAUCCAGCCAUCCCAAGUGUGUGCGAUGAAGGCCUUCGAAUAAGACUGUAGAAAUGUUGAUG